rnacentral:rRNA from 1 species
UACGAGGGGGGCAAGCGUUGUUCGGAAUUAUUGGGCGUAAAGGGCGCGUAGGCGGUGCGGUAAGUCUGUUGUGAAAUCUCCGGGCUCAACUCGGAAAUGGCAUUGGAAACUACCUUGCUCGAGGGUUGGAGGGGGGACUGGAAUGCUUGGUGUAGCAGUGAAAUGCGUAGAUAUCAAGCGGAACACCAGUGGCGAAGGCGAGUCCCUGGACAACUCCUGACACUGAGGCACGAAAGCUAGGGGAGCAAACAGG